AACUAAAGGAAAUUGCUAAGACAGUAGAAAAUGUUGUGUGGAUUGAUGUUGCUGUUUUUUUUCUCUCUGUUAACAAAAGAUACUGAGCAAUGUACAGAGAGGUUUAUGGAGCUACCAUUAGUGACAGUAAUAUCACAAGGAAUUGGAACAAAUCCAUCUCAAACCUAUGUAGGUGACAAUCAACUUAGAGUCCUUCAAGAGUAUCAAUUCAAUUGUUCAUCUACUAACAUAACCAGUCUUAUAUUGGGUAUUAAUGUGAGGAGAGCUACUGGUAGUCGUACACUUUAUCCCAGUGUUCAGGUCUUUAGACCUGAUGGUAGUCUAGUGACUGGUAGUGAAUAAACUAUUUAUUAUUCUACCUCUAAUGUCAGUACUAGUGGAGUGUUUGAAUAUCCACUCAAUCCUCCUAUACCAGUAAUGAGUGGAGACCUGUUAGCUGUAUCACAACCA